CCCGUCCUUCCUUUUACUAUAUUUCAAGCUCCUUUCCAGACAGAUUAUUAAGAGGAGUCAGAUUUUUACCCUUUUUGGGAUUCUGGCUACAGACAGCACCACUAGGAAGACUUAGGAAUGUUUGUUGGGUUACUCUCUGAAUUACUGUGUUGAAUUGUAUAGUCUCAUACUUGAAGAAGGACAGGAAGCCCGGACACUUAAGCACACUCAUUGGAUAUCACCUGCUAAACACAACAGUCAUUUCUUUGUCAACAGCAUUACCACAUCCAGUUGCAAAUAACCUCCCCCACCCUCAGAUAUACCCAGACUGUGUGUCUCUCAGCUCCUGUUCCAUCAUUCAGCAUCUCUACUAAGAGGUUCCAUUUCCCUUGAACAUUUUCUGUCCUGCCGACUGCAGGACACUAGAUCUGACAUGAAUGCUGCCCUGCCGCAUACCUUACACCUCCCACACCAUCAUUCAGAGCAACUACAGGCAGCAGUGAGGGGGAAUGGAAAGAAAGAUAGGGAACACUCCCCCUUUUCUGGUCUUUAUAAUUUUUAUUUUCCUGCAUCUAAUCCUAUUUGUUUUUCUGUCUAUGUCUCACACACAUACGAAGAGCUUCUAGCUAUGGCCCUUGGGUUUGGACGAAAAAGUUGGUCAUUAAAUUCUCCUUAUGAGACUGUGGAGAGAGAGAGAGAGAGAGAGAGAUAGAUAGAUAGAUAUAUAGAUAUAUAUAUAUAGAUAUAUAUAUAUUUUUACAUGUAGGCUCUAUUAACUACUGUAUUUGCCUGUAGAUUAAUUACACCUCAGUUGGUUGACCUGAAGACCUGAUUACCAUGUCUAAUAUUAUUCCUGUUGGAAUAAUUUUGCUUUGACCCAAACAACUGCCACAUUCAGAAUGCAGUCCAUUUGGAAAUCAGAAGAUUCCCAUGGUUGCAGAGAUAGCCAACUCCAAAGGGCACCAUUCACAUAAUAUCCUGUGUAAAUAACACACCCCCUGAAGUAUUGGGAUUCCCUGUACAUCAUUGUAUAGCAGUAAAUAACAGUGAAGGCUAGCAGCUUGGCAUACUACUGUGUAGGUCAAACAUUUGUGUGGUAGAUUUUACUACUGGGCCACCCUUACAACCUCUUCUCUAGAAGAUGUUUUAAAGUGGCAGGAUUUCCAACUUUUUUUUUUUUCAUAACAAGGUUAAAAAUGAUUUUGACUCAUUAAUUCCGUAUAGUUACAUUUAUACCAGACAUAAAGGCAGAAAAUUGUUUGAAUGUGAUACUUAGCUGUUUUCUGGCCCCAUAGGACAGAUUUUUUUUUAAGUAGUUUUAGUGCUGUUUCCUAACCAGUUUGUGUAGUUUGUUAGAAUAACAGCCAACUGCUGCUUUUCAUCCUGGAGUUGUGCCUCGCACCUUGACUGUACCUCAGCCCCUCUCAUUAAGUGUGUGUGGGUGAUAGAAAUUGAGGGACUGUGUUAUAGCCAACUCUACGCCUGGCUGUGGAAGGUGGAGAGACUAGGGUAUAAUAACCUGUUAGUAUUCCAGCAGGAAGGGGGCUUUGUUUUAUCACCUCAAGUAAUCAAAUCCAGUUAAUCCUUAGUUGGAAAUGUAGAGGAUAUAUAACCUUGGAGAAAAGCUUGUUAACUUUGUAAAAGGGGCUUAAUAAGAGCACCACCUGCUGGCCAUGAAGAUCUGUGGUAUUUUGAGAGAGCUUGCCAAACCCUGCACAUGAGGCUACAGCAACUUCCCAGCAGGAGGAAGAAGUGAGCAUUACAAAACACCCGGAAAAAGUGCGCCUGAGAAAAUGGUGGAAAGUAAGGAGCCAGACAGCCAGGUGAAUCAUGGAAUGUCAGACCCUAGUCAUCCUGAAGUCAGGGUCUUCUCAUUCAUCUUUCAUUUUGUUUGAGGAAACAGUAACUUAAGGAUGACAUUAGUAAUUCGUCUUAUUUUCCUGUUAUUUACCUGAUAAGGAUCAGCACCCUCUUCUCUGAAAAUAGCAGUUUACCUAUGUGGGUAUGGAAUGUAGGAGACCUCUAGCUGAAUGGAUCUCUGGUGUGUUCUCUUCCAUUUCAUAUCCCUUUUUUUGCUUACUUUCAGGUCCUGUAUCCAGUCUAUUUUAGAUUUUUAACUCUUCACAGAACCUAGGUAUUAUCACUUACUAGUUAGUAUAUGAACUCAACCAGCAAUUCCUAAGAUAUCUUUUUUUUUUUUUUUUUUUUUUUUUAACUGACUGGGGGAUCUAACUGGGUUCCUGUUCACUCUUAACAUGGAAGCAAUUAAAAGGCAACACAGCAAACUUCUAACAAAGUCUAGCAGCUGGAGUUCCUUAAACCGUUUAUACUGGGUUUAAAGAGGAAUUGCUCUUGAUUCCGCUUAAUACGUCAACUGGAGAGUACAAGGUAGUGUUCCAUGACUUGGGUUCUACAAUGUGCCAACUUGCAUUUAAGAGCAUUUAGUUGAGGGGAAGGGUUUAGGAGUGGAGUUCCAGUUGAAGAGUCAUUGACUAAACAUUUUAGAGUUGAGAGACUCAUAGCAGUCAUAUAAUCUAGCAGUAACAAAUAGAUGUCCUUUCUUGUGCCUAUUCAAAUGAAUUGACAGUAACUGUCUGGAGUUAUUUAAUGUAUUGUUUGGGAAGAAUCUGAGGUCUCCAGUACAACAGGAAAGACAGCUGUGUUUGUACCUCCAGUACAACAGGAGGGUUAGAGAAUGAAUGCUAGAAUGUUGCCAGCCCUGAUCUAGCCCCACUGCCUCAUUUCACAGGUGGAACUAAAGCCCAGCUGAAUGAUUUGUUCUUGCUUUCUCCUUCUACUCGAGAUAGAACCAGGACCUGAAUCCAGGCCUACUUGUUUCUAGUCAUUGCUGUUUUCACUAUAACCAGGUCUCUCAUAUCCCUGUCCCUUUUUUUUUCCUGGCUUCAUUUUCAGAUUUGGGAGAACGUUGGGGGAAAAUAAAAGGAAAAAAUAAAAUCUAUGCUUUUUGGAGUUCCAUUACAUAUAUAUACAAAAUAUACACAGCCUUUGCCAAAUGGGAGUAACUCUUCUGCUGACAAAGCGGUAUUGUGGGAUGGGCAGAAGUGACCUCGUCUCCUUUCUUGAGCCUCUUCUAUACAUUCCAGCUCAGCCCAGCUUUCAGAUUGUUGUACAGGGCCGAAUGCUUCUAGACAAUGCUUUAUUUCCUAGGAUUUGGUAUAGCUGAGUUUUUAAGUGUGGAAAAGAGUGAUUAUGAAAAAUGAGAAGACAGCAGUGUCCUCAGAGACUGUGUUUUUACACUUGGACAGGUAGCAAAUGUUUGUUUUCAUUAAAACUUUAAUAGUUUUCCUAAUUUGUUUCACUGUCAUAAAGCCCAGCAAUCAUGGAGCUGAGGCUGCUUACCCACUGGGAAAAAUCAUCCCUGAGAAUAUUAGCUUUUUUUUUUUUUUUCCCAACUCAGAUUUUUAUUCCAGUCCUGGAAGGCCUAACAUUCAGUCCUCGAAGGCAUAACAUUCAGUGUCAUGAAAUUCAUCAUCUAUACCAUAGGCAGGAGUGGCUAAAUUUCUUUUACUCUGCAGAACUGGCUUGGAAAAUAUUUUGUACUGUCUAUUUCUUGGGAGUAAUUUGAGAAAUAAUUGACUUUACUAAAGAAUCCUCUCCAUCCUCUGGAUCAGUGAGUAGCCUCAAGGUAUAUUGUCUAAGAGUAUGGGCUUUAGGGUUGUAUAAUCUUGAGUUUGAAAGUUGGUUGUUACUCGUUAAACUAUGUAACCUUGGACAUAGUUAAUGUACCUUUCUGCACCUGUUCCCUAUCUUUAAAAUAAGCAUAAUUGUGUUUGCCUCAUGGAACUGUUACAAAGAUUAAGUGGCACACGCAUGAUGAUAAACACACAGUGCCUGGCAGAUAAUAAUGGGUUCAGUAAUGUUAAUUUAGACGUCUCUUCCCUGCCUUCUUAUCCCCAGUUCAGAUUGAGCAUAUCCUCUGUGCUCUAUGGGAGCCAAAACCCCAUAAGCUUUUAGAAAAUAUAUUAAACAGGCCGGGUGCAGUGGCUCACGCCUGUAAUCCCAGCACUUCGGGAGGCCGAGGCAGGUGGAUCACGAGGUCAAGAGAUCGAGACCAUCCUGGCUAACACGGUGAAACCCCGUCUCUACUGAAAAUACAGAAAACUAGCCGGGCGAGGUGGUGGGUGCCUGUAGUCCCACCUACUCAGGAGGCUGAGGCAGGAGAAUGGCAUGAACCCGGGAAGCGGAGCUUGCAGUGAGCCGAGAUGGUGCCACUGCACUCCAGCCUGGGCGACAGCAAGACUCCGUCUCAAAAAAAAAUAUAUACACACACACACACACACACACACACACACACACACACACACACAAUAAAUUUCUAAUAGUUCUAGAAGACAUGCUAUCAGUGACUGGAAUUUGUAAUUAUUUUUGAAAGAUGGAUAAAGACAAGAUAACUGUGAAGAAAUAAAUAGAAAGCCCAAAGCACAUGCCAGGAGUAAGUUGCUGUGAGGUGGGAACUGAUUACAGGAGGUUUUUGACCCAGAAUUAAAGGGCAGAAGGAGUAGUGAUAGGACCUGGGCAUUUGUCUGGGUGAUAAAUUUGGACUCAUUUUAGAAUAGCUAGGUUAGAUUUUCCUUUCCUGUCCUCUCACCCCACCAGAGCCUUCUUCCUUGAAGUAGUGGUGUUUCAUUCUAUUCUGAAGCAGUGGAUAGGGACUCUGGCGGGAACUUCUGAGCAUGCCCCAAGUGGUUACCGAUUCCGAGGAGGAACUGGGAGGUGAGGAAAAAUGUGCUGGCUUUUAGAUUUGAAUAUCCCUGGAAAGCUUUGCAGAAGCUUGAAAACAGACUCACACUGCUAUCCAUGGUGGUGAAAUGUCAGAAUAUUGAAAACAUAAAAAGGAAAAUCUAAAAGUUAUACAUCAGCACCAGAGGUUCCAGUCAGAGUAAUAGGCAAGAAGUAAAAAAGGAAUACAGAUUGGAAAGAAAAGGUAAAACAGUCUCCAUUUGUAGAUGACGUACUUAUGUCUAUAGAAAAUCCUACUGAAUAAACAAGAAAAAGUCUAUAACGAAGUAGUUUCACAGGCUACAAGGUCAUUUAUAUAGCAGUUUAUUGUACUUCUAUAUACUAGUAAUGAAGAACUGAAGUUGAAAUUUUAAAAGGUACUAUCUUUAAUCAUUUCCAUCUGUGACUUUUGUCAGCCUGGCCUUCACUGCCCGUAUUUCUAUCAGUAUUUUGGUCAAAACCAUUUAACAAAUCUCUAAGAAGUUCCAGACUUUCCCUCAUCUUCCUGUCUUCUUCUGAACCCUGCAAACUCUUCCAACUUCUGCCCAUCAGAAAACAUUAAUUCUUAGGAAUAAACUUAACAAAUUGUAUUUAAGACCGGUAUGUCAACAAUAACUAAACACUGUCAAGAGAAAAUCAAGACAAACGUAAAUAGAUGGAGAGAGAGAUACCACGUCAGUCGAUUGAAAGAUUCAGUAUUGGUGGUGGAACACAUGGAAGUUGUCCCCAAAUUGAUCUGUAGAGUCAGUGUAAUACCACAAGUUUGUUGUUGUUUUUUGCAGAAGCUUAAAAGGCAAAAACCAGACCACCUACAAGUAAGAAAGAAUCCGAUUCCCUCUUAAGUAUAGCACUGGAUAUUAGAAUACACGGAAGAAUUGAAUAGCUUUAAAUGUUUGAGAGGAAAAUGGUUUAAAUCUAGAAAUUCCUUUUCUAAAGGAAUUGCUCAAGGAUAUAUUCUUGGGAAAAAUCUAAGAAAAUGGAAAGAUAAGAAACAGCAUAAAAAAUUCAGUCCAAAAGAUGUUGAUUUGUGAUAUUGAACAUUAACCAGUCAGCUAAAAAUCCCCGAUAAUCUCAUGAUGGGAAUUGGCGGAGCCACAGAGGAAGGAAGGAGAGAAUGGUAUGUAGUUCUUAUUUGGAGAGAGUAUGUAGUACUCAGUACAGUGCCUGAUAACAUAGAUAAUGAAUAUUGUUGAAUAAUUGCAUCCUGAUUAACUUUAUAUUGAUAGAAAAGAAGUAGGCUUAAAUAUGUUUUUAAAUCUCUAGAAUAGAAACAGGAUGUUUUCAAACCAGUAAAUUCAACAAACAAGGAUACAAGAACAAAAACUCCAUCAACCAAACCAAAAAGGUGUCUUGUUUUGUUUUGUUUCCCUUUGGGACCUGAAAGUAAAAAGCUAAAGUGACCUGCUUGCAAAUAGAAGAAUGACCUUCAGUAAUGUUCACAUAAACAGAUCUUCCAUAUGACAGCACUUGCCCUGCCAAGUGUCAGGCCACUGGGCAAAUAAAAGGAGGGUGGAGUGUAGGUCUUGAACACUAGAGAGGCCAGGUGUUUGGACUAACCUGUAGCAUUUUAUGUUUCUUGCAGAUGUUCCCACAAGCCUGCAUUUCCAGAGCAUGCUGAAAUCUCAGUGGCAGAACAAGCCUUUUGACAAAAUCAAACCUCCCAAAAAGUUAUCGCUUAAGCACAGAGCACCCAUGCCGGGCAGUCUGCCAGAUCCAGCUCGUAAGGACAGGCACAAAUUGGUCAGCUCCUUCCUAACAACAGCCAAGCUGUCCCAUCACCAAACCCGGCCUGACAGGACCCACAGGCAGCACUUAGACGAUGUGGGGGCCGUGCCCAUGGUGGAGCGAGUGACAGCGCCAAAAGCAGAGCGCUUGCUCAACCCACCACCACCCGUGCAUGACCCAAACCACAGCAAAAUGAGAUUGCGAGACCAUUCAUCUGAGAGAAGUGAAGUGUUGAAGCAUCACACAGACAUGAGCAGUUCGAGCUACUUGGCAGCCACCCACCAUCCUCCACACAGUCCCUUGGUGCGACAGCUCUCCACCUCCUCAGAUUCCCCUGCACCCGCCAGCUCUAGCUCACAGGUUACAGCCAGCACAUCGCAGCAGCCAGUAAGGAGGAGAAGGGGAGAGAGCUCAUUCGAUAUUAACAACAUUGUCAUCCCAAUGUCUGUUGCUGCAACAACUCGCGUAGAGAAACUGCAAUACAAGGAAAUCCUUACGCCCAGCUGGCGGGAGGUUGAUCUUCAGUCUCUGAAGGGGAGUCCUGAUGAGGAGAAUGAGGAGAUUGAGGACCUAUCCGACGCAGCCUUCGCCGCCCUGCAUGCCAAAUGUGAGGAGAUGGAGAGGGCACGGUGGCUGUGGACCACGAGUGUGCCACCCCAGCGGCGGGGCAGCAGGUCCUACAGGUCAUCAGACGGCCGGACAACCCCCCAGCUGGGCAGUGCCAACCCCUCCACCCCCCAGCCUGCCUCCCCUGAUGUCAGCAGUAGCCACUCUUUGUCAGAAUACUCCCAUGGUCAGUCCCCUAGGAGCCCCAUUAGCCCGGAACUGCACUCAGCACCCCUCACCCCUGUGGCUCGGGACACUCCGCGACACUUAGCCAGUGAGGAUACCCGUUGUUCCACACCAGAGCUGGGGCUGGAUGAACAGUCUGUCCAGCCCUGGGAGCGGCGGACCUUCCCCCUGGCGCACAGUCCCCAGGCGGAGUGUGAGGACCAGCUGGAUGCACAGGAGCGAGCAGCCCGCUGCACUCGACGCACCUCAGGCAGCAAGACUGGCCGGGAGACAGAGGCAGCGCCCACCUCGCCUCCCACUGUCCCCCUCAAGAGUCGGCAUCUGGUGGCAGCAGCCACAGCUCAGCGCCCGACUCACAGAUGAGCGGGAGACAGCCAUCUAAACAGACUCACUAACUAUUGGCAUUAAAGCUUCAGAAAUCUCUGCGUUUGAUAUUCAAACAUCAUAUGCCGGAAAUUUUCACAGUUUUUAGUGAACUUAAGGAAUUUAGAUCCUACUUUGGUAUUUUUUUUUCUUGUUUUAAUUUUUGUUUUGUUUUUGUUUCCAUGUUUUCUUGUCACACACCUGAGCACUUCCUCCCGUUGGCAAACAGAAGUUCAGGAUGAGACCCUGCUGGCCUGGUCCUGGCACAUCCUCUGCACUGUUGAAUCACUGGACUUACUGAUCUUAGAUGACCACCCCCUCCCUCACACCUGUGGGCAGGACAGAACAGCCUGGCGGGCAGAGGGCUACAGUUUAGCAUGGCCUUCUUGAGCUAGGGUGGAAUGGGGCAGGGUGCUCUGGACUCUUACCCCCUCCCCUCCCAUCUGUGGCUUGGCUCCGCUGUGGCCCUCCUGGCUGGGUCCCCUUGGUUUUUCGUGCUGGAACAUCCCCACCAGAGCCUCUCUGCCAUAACUGCCAGCUGCUCUCCCCGAGUGCUCAGCUGGCACAACACCUUUCCUUUCUCACCCAGAACUUAGAGACUGAUUUUUUGUUUCAUCUGCAUUUGGUCUUCUCUGUUUUGACUCUUUCACUGCAGUAACCUGGCUGUGGCUGCUCAGGUUCCCCUCCUCAUGCCCCUUGGUACCCUUCCCUGUCUGCUCUCCCAUGCCAUGUACACACCCACAACCCGUCCUUCCACUUGGAAUGUUUUUACCACCUAUCCUGAUCUUUGAAGGUAGGGUUAGGACUACUUAACCUCUAUUCCCACUCCCCUGCAAACUGGGGGUUGUGGGAAGUGAGCAGCCAUCUCCCUGUGUGAUUUUUUUUUUUUUUCCCUCUGAUUCACUUUGCCAUGUUUCCUUCACAUCCAGAUCCCUGUCGGUGUUAGUUCCACUCUUGGUCUUUCACGCUCCCCUUGCCUGUGGAACAUUGUCUGGUCCUAGCUGUGGUUCCCAUUGUUCCCCCUUCACCCUUCUCUGUUAACCUUGUGCCUGUCUUCUGUAUGAUCACAUCACCAAAAAGGGGGAGGGGGGAGAAGACUCUUUUUUUUGGCCAUUUUGUAAUCGUAUAAAAAUAGUAGACAACUGCUUAAUGGUUGGGGUUUUUUCACAAUUUUCAACAUUAGUGAUUUUUUUUUUCUGUUUGCAAGUUAAAGGGUUUGUCAUUGUUUCUUUAAAAAAAAAUACAAUAAUGCACCAUAUCCCUAUGCAUAAAGUGCUUCUUCUAUUUAUAAGGUUGAAAAUUCUGAAUAACCCUUUUAGCAUUGAAAAAAAAACAAAAACAAAAAAUGAAAAAAAAAAACAACCUUGUAUUUUGUAAAUAUUUUCUUUUCCUGCUUUGGAGCUGUGUAAUGGCAGCGAAACAUGUAGCUGUCUUUGUUCUAUAGAAAUGCUUUUCUUCAGAGAAGCUGAUCUUUGUUAAUGUCUUGAUUCUGUUCGCAAAGCACAGACUAGUGCUUAAAAAAAAAAAAGAAGGAAAAAUUGAAAAAAAUAAAAAAAAAAAAGUUACAGAA
rnacentral:sRNA from 1 species